AAAAUUUUUUAUUUAUUCUAAAAUAUUUUACUAAUUAGGAAUUUGAGUAACAGAAAUGAAGCCUGGUUUAGAAUGCACAAGAAUGUGAUUUAGAGCUAACACAGAUGUGCUGAUCACAAGAAGACCUCUAGAGAUCAUCCAGCCUUUCCUUUACCUUUUUAUUAUAUUCAGGUUCUCAACAGUUUGGAUAAUGUUUCACCUGUGUCAGCAGAUUUUCUUUACUCAGUCUACCAAUUCAAAUUCUAAUUUCUUCCAGAAACACCCUCACAGACACACUCAGAAAUAAUGUUUUACCAGCUAUCUGGGCAUUCCUUAGCCUAGACAAGUUGACACAUAAAAUUAACCAUUACACAUUUGUAGUUAAGGGUGGCCAUGCUAAAAAUUUUGCAAAUGUAACAUACUUGGGAGUAACCUCUUCUCCUUAUUCUUUUUCCUUCCUAAAACUCUGGAGGUACAGUAGUUGUUUUGAGACCAUGGAGACUGAAUAUACUAUAGGGAAGAAGAGCAGGACAACUAAAGGAACUGGGUACCUGAUGGCAUUAUUUAGAUACAGAAUCCAGCCUGGAUUGCACACUCCCAGGUUUUUGCUGUGUGACUAAAUAAGAAUUAACCACUACAUUAGAUUUUCUUGCAUUCACUUGAAUGCAAUCCUAGCAGCUACACUCAACAUAUCUCUAAUUUAUAUUAUCCUAUGUCUCUCACCUUUCUUCUUAUUUCUCACCUUUUCUCAUAUCCAUGAGUGGUACUCCCAUUAGUCCAGGAUCUCAAACCAGAAUUACAGAGUGAAAUUCAAUUCUUCCAUCUCCUUCAUGAUCCUGUCCUCCUAAUACCUCUUUAACAUUGCAUCAGUCCAUCUACUUCUCUUUGUCCUGCUGCCAUAUGUUAGUACAGGAUUUGCCUAGAUUAUUGUAGCAAACUUUUUUUUUUUUUUUUUUUUUUAGAUGGAGUUUUGCUCUUGUUGCCCAGGCUGGAGUGCAAUGGCAGCUAUCUCAGCUCACUGUAACCUCUGCCUCGCGGGUUCAAGCGAUUCUCCUGCCUCAGCCUCCUGAGUAGCUGGGAUUACAGGCAUGCCCCACCAUGCCUGGCUAAUUUUGUAUUUUUAGUAGAGACAGGGUUUCUCCAUGCUGGUCAGGCUGGCCUCGAACGCCCGGCCUCAGGUGAUCUGCCUGCCUCGGCCUCCCAAAGUGCUGGGAUUAUAGUGUGAGCCACCAUGCCCGGCCUGUAGCAAACAUUUAAAACUGAUCUCUGUGUAUUUAGUCUUGCUCUACUUCAGGACAUUCUCAAUACUGCAGCAAAAGUUAUUCUAAAAUGCAAAUCUCAUUUUGGCAGGGAUGCUGCUAAAUAUCCUACAGUGCACAGAACGGCCACCAACGACCAAGAAUUAUCCAGUCCAAAAUGUCAGUAAAGCUGAGGUUAAGAAAUCCUGUUCCAGAAUAUCACAUUUUUUGCUUCUCCACUUCAUUCUGUCUGGAUGUGAUACCUAGAAAUGCUACCAGCUGAGGAAGAAGCCAAAAUGUGGAGAAGGACAGAAUCAAGAGAAUUGCAAAGAAGCUGAGUUGGAAUCCUGACAAACCACGCUGGAGUGGCCCUACCUCCGUUGUUUCAGGCAUUUUGAGUCAGGGCUUUCUGGUACUUACAGUCAAAGGCAUCUAAAUGACAGUCUCCAAAAUUCACCAUAGCAUUGUCUCUGUGAGAUAGAGGAAAAGAUGAAGAUGUGAAAAAUGGAGCACAGAAAGAUUACAAUAUUGACCAAGAUCAUGAAUCUAGAAAGUGUCAUAGUCAGGACUUAAGUCUAAGUCCUCUGAUCUAGUGCUCUUUCCAUCAAAUGACAGCUAGAGGUUGGAGCAAACCUAUGAGUUAUGAGAGAAGUAGGAAGGCAGCUCCAGACCACUUGCAAGGAAACUGGGAUCUGCUCUGGGUUGUGUCAUCCACCAGCUGUGAAAACUUAGCUGAGUCAUUUUUAUUUCUCUGAGCCACAAUUUCAAGGAACUACACUAGACAAUCUAUUAUGUGCUUCCGAUUCUAACAUCCUAUGGCUCUGUAACUGAGAAUGCUUAUGCAAAUAAGGUACAAAUCAUGCUUUAUAUAAACUAUGAGUCUUCCCCGGUGACUACCGGAGAAACCCACUGUGUAUAUUCUGCUGGGGUUCUAUUUUAGCUUCCACAUUCAUGUCCCAUGAACACCUGUGAAAAUGUCAGCAGUUAACAGAUGAGUUGAACAUCAACUUAAACUAGCUUUAUAACCCAAGUCACGGGCUUCUCAUUUGCAGAAUAAUUUUACUCUAGAGCUGCAAAAAUCAUUCGUUGAUGAGCUAAUUUUGUCACUGUGAUUCUUAGAACACAUUUAAAUGGGCAUAAAAAGGCAGUCUUACAGAGUCUUCAAGAUGCUUAUUUAUUAUACACUCGAAUGGCAAGUUUCCACAAUUAAUUGUCCUAUGACUGAUUUCCCUUCACUAUUUUAAUGAAGCAUGUGAUAUUUGCUACCUCAAUAGGUUUAGGUUUGCAAAUUUAGCACUAGAGGAGCUAUUUUCCCCUAAGCAAUUUGUCAGCAGUUUGAGAAAAUUGUCAUCAGGGAAACCAUGUACUUUGGCUGCAGUUUCACAGUCCAAAAGCUUGUCUUCACACAGACAAAUUAUUAAGUCAAAGAAAAUGUAGCACAGCAUCACUUAAAUCUCUGAACUAGAAACUAGUCUAUGUUAGAAAGCACAAAAUGAUACUAGCAGAGAAAUUGUAAAGUAUAAAAUAAUGCUUUAUGAAGAAUUUUAAGCACUGGCUGACUAGAAAUAUUAGGGGUUAUGGCUACAUAAGGAAAAUAACUAAAGGGGUAUGGGGAAAAGAUUGGAGGAAGUCCAGUUGAGUGUGGAAUACAGUGGUUUUUGCCUUUAUUCUUAGAAAAAAGAUGCUGGAAAUUGAGUCCUCAGAGGAAUGAAUCAAGUGCAAAGGUGGUGAUAUAAAACCUUGUGUUAGGUCUUUUUCUAAGUGUCCUAACUUACAUUAGUCAAGUAAAAUAGAAUCUAUUGGCUCAUAUAAAUGGGAUGUCCAAAGGGCAGGCUGAACGCCCGACUGUAACCAGGCACUCAGAUGAUUUCAUCUUUCAGCUCCGCAUCUUGCUGGAUAUUGGCUUCCUUCUGUGGGUAAGCUCUUGAUACACACUGGAAAAGGUGGCUACAGGAAGCUCAAGGCUGUAUCCUUUUCCUUCCCAGGGAAGUAUAUGUAAAUUGUAGGAAACCAUCUGAUUAGCCCUGUUUAGUUCAUAAACUUACCCUGGAUCAAUCACUGUGCCAAGGAGAUGGCAUACUCUUAUUGGCCAGCCUGGGUCACUGCUGAUGCCUAGGUUAGGGAAGCAUUAUGACAGACAUUCCAUUGGGAACUUAUGUUGUAGGGGUAGGGAGUUUACCCAAAGUAAGGGAUUUUGGACGGACAAAAUUGUAGGUCUACUUGAAGGUUCUCUUGAAAUUUCUUAUAGUUUUCAUUUUUAACACUAAACCUAAAGCUAAAGAACUAAAAAGAAAAGUGAGUCAUGGACAAGCUUUUACAAAUUAUCCCAAAAUACUUUGCCCUAAAUUAGAAUAAAUAAAAUAAUUAGAAUGAAUAAAACUUAAAGUAGGUAGUGUGCUCUUUUCAUCUAAUUCAUAUUUUUACUAUAAACUUGUUAUUAAAAGAAAUACAAAUUGCUAAAUGUAAAAUGACUGAUAAUUUAGAAGAAAAUUUAAAUAAUCAUGAAUUAGACGAUGCUUUCCUAAUGGCAGAAUCCAUCCUCAAUUAUUAAUUUGUUUCCACACUUGAAUAAAUCUAAUGUAACCCAGGAGAUACUGGAAAUGAUGUGCUUAUUAACCUUAAUGGAAUUAGUAAUUAGAGUGGGUUCCAUGGAACAGACUCUGAGAUGAAAGACAUGCAGACUUAUAAGAAAGGGAGGAAGGCAGGAUUAAGCAGAGGGAAAAGCUGAUCUGCCACGCAAUUGCAACUGAAAUCUCAGCCCAUCCAUAGGAGCUCUGGAGCUGGUGUGGCCCUUUAAAGUUCCUAAAUUGAGGCAAGGGGCCAGGCCUUUGUACUUCUACAUUGACCAGUUACUUAAUGCACGCUGACCCAGGGUGGAGAGAGGGACAUAAACGUGGGCCAGGAAACUCCCUCAGCUGAGGGCAAUUCCUAGGCAGGGACUCAGCUGUGAGCUUUAAGCAGAAAACAUUGCUGGGAGCUGGGGGAGUGAAUGCCUUAGAGCUUUAGCGCAUCACAGCAUCCACUACAGGGACUGCCGCUUGAAAGACAUAUCAUGACAGUACUCAAAUGCCAGGACUAGUUUCAUUUUGGUCUCCAGACGGAAACAGUCUCUUCUGGCCAGAGAACAUUUAAAUGUUUCCCAUUGUCACAACAGACAAGAUAACAAAGGAGUCAGAUCAAAGAAUGCUAAUCCUGGUUAGAGGAGGCAAUUACUCAAGAGAACAGAGAUAAGGAAUAAGGUAAUUCCAGUGAGAGGAGCACAAAGCAUCACAUAGGUGCUCCUAGGGUUUACAAGCAAAGAAUCAUCUGCAUAGAACCUUGAAGCAAGAUUUUUUUUUUGAGACAGGGUCUUGCUCUGUUGUCCAGGCUAGAGUGCAGUGGUGCAAUCAUGGCUUACUGCAGCCUCCAUUUCUUGGGCUCAGCUGAUCCUCCCCUCUAAGCCUUCCAAGUAGCUGGGACUAUAGGUGCAUGUCACCAUGCCUGGCUAGUUUUUUGUAGACACAAUUUUUUGUAUUUUUUGGGUUUUGUCUCCAUUGCCCAGGCUAGGACUGAAGCAAGCCACCCACCUCAACCUCCCAAAGUGUUGGCAUCACAGGCAUGAUCCACCACACUCAGCCUUGAAACCAGAUUUAAAUAUCUCAGCCCAGACAGUGUCUUAACAGAAACAGAACAGCUGAGGCAAAAAAAGAAGAUUCUCUUAGCCCAAAGUCAGUGCCCUCAUCCAAACUACUUAAUUGUGAUGACCAGUACCUUGAUAAGAGCUGGAAUGGAUAUUACAUUAUAAUUUAUUCAAUACAUCUGUUAAAACAAAGGUGUCAAUUUUUGCUUCUCCUUAAAAGUCUUUAGGCUGGCAUUUUAGGGUAAAAUAGAAGGGUAUUAUAUAUCCAAUCUCAAGUUGUCUAUCUAGCAAUUUUUCUCUAAAUCAAGUUCUUUUCAUCAUCUCUAGCUCCACUAACGGGCAAAAUUUUUCCUCCUUGCUAGUCCGAAACCCCUGAGAGGUAGCAUCUCUGUUCUCAUGAGUACCAAAAAUGGGAAAAUGUGGGACAAUUCUCAUUUCUCUUUACUGCUCUGCCCCUUUGUUUAUCGUAUUAAUUACACAGAAGACUGCACAGAUAUAUUAGAUUUUACUGAUUGGUUGGAGGUGGCUGAUGAAAAUUAUAAUGUAGGGUGAGAAAAAAAAGCUAUUUCUUUUUCUUUUGAGACAGGGUCUCUUGCCCAGGCUGGAGUGCAGUGGCAGUAUCUUGGCUUGCAGGAGCCUCAAACUCCCGGGCCCAAGAGAUCCUCCCACCUCAGCCUCCCAAAUAGCUGGAACUAUAGGUGCACCACACCUGGCUAAUUUUUGUAUUUUUUGUAGAAACAAGGUUUCGCUAUGUUGCCCAGGCUGGUCUCGAACUCCUGAGCUCAAAUGAUACACCCACUUCGGCCUCCCAAAGUGCCAAGAUUACAGGCGUGAGCCACCGUGCCUGGCCGAAAGAGCCAUUUCUGUGUAAUUUUUCUGCAUAGUUUAAAAUAAAACCAUGUAAGAAACUGACUGUCAUAGGCAGUUAUAGUUCUCCCCAGUCCUUGUUCCUUUAAGUUUAGAUCUCUUUGUAAGAAUAUAAACUUCUAACUCUGCCCAUAGCUCCCCAUGUACUUUUCAGGUAAUUCUAUCUUUAGUCAUGAAAGUUGAUGUUCCCUUAGGAUUCACGCUUCUUUUCUCAGCAGUAUCUUUAGCCAAAUCUGAAUUAAUCUGUUCAGAAUGAACAAGCAGAAUAGUCUUUGGAUUUGAUCCAAAUCCCUGAAGCACUUUGGGAAUGAGAAUGGCUAUGCCAGACAGAGAGACCCUGGCGACUUAUGAUACUGCAGAACACAACAGGCACUUCAGAUUGGUCCCAGGUAAGGCUUCUCCACCACUGUGUCACACACUUCUCUUUAUUCUUUCACUUGUCUGACAAAUAACAGUUGAAUCCAAUAUCUACCCCCAAAGCCCCCUUUUAAGGACAGACUAAACCCGUAUGAAAGAAAAAAAAUGUUUUCUUACUAGUUCUGUAAUUUGCAAAGUCAAAUUCUUCUCUUGAGGUGUAAUUGAUAUAAUACACAGAGUAUUUCAUGUCAUACUGUCUGCCUCUUCCCAACUUUGAAUUGCAGACUUGGGUCCAUUAGAAAUAAGAAACUGAUCAUUUACUGAGUUAAGCAUUUCCAUUUAAUCAUCAUUCCAUCUUAUAUAUUUUUCAUUUUAGAGUUGGUUCAGUUAUAUUCAACAAAUUCUUUUAAACCCUCAUUUAGUCCUCUACGUACUGAUAUAUAUAUAGAUGCCUAAACCAAAUGGACCUCAUUUCCUUUAAAAUUCUGAUAUCCAAAAUAAGCAGCACCAGGUAAGUAACUCCUGUUAUGGGAUCUUGUCUGGGCAUGCUAUACUUUAUACUAAAUCACCUGAAAUAUUCCUUGGUUCUUAGGAAAACAAGCAUCCUAGGUGAUUUAGAUAAUUUAGGGUGCUUAUUUGAAAAAAGGUUUGGGGCUUUAUUUAAUCAUUUUAUUUAUAUAUUUUUAAAUUAUUUGAGCAUAAUAAAAUAUUAAAAGAGUGUUUUUCCUCCUUUGUUAUUUCUGAAGUAUUGAAUUUAUUUGCAGUUAAGUUGAGGGAGAGCAGUGAUAUUGAGCAGUCAGCUAAAGAAACAAAGCUGUAGAGGUAAGUAGACCAGGUCUUAGAAAACCUUGUCUUUCAUGCUAAGAAGUUUAGACAUAAAAUCAAUAGCUUAAGGCAGUGGGAAUCCACUGUAGACCUCCCUUUUUUUUUCUUUUUUCCAUUGAAGGAUUUUUUACAGUAAAGUGACAUGACUCUGUUUUUGUUUUAGAAAGAUUAGGUUAGUGGCAGUGUAGAAAAUAAAUUUAAGAAGCAUUGAUCCAUUUGUUCAUCUAACAAAUAUUAAAUAUUAUGAAUGUUCUUUUCCCUCAGGGAGCUUAAUUUUUUGAGGGAGACAAAUGACAACCAUUUAUAUAAUAAGUAAUUUAUUUAUACUUGGGAGGAUUGCUAUGAAUGAGGAGUACAGCAUUGAAUAAGAAUGUAUAAUGAGGAGGCCAGGCGCAGUGUCUCAUGCCUGUAAUUUCAACAUUUUGGGAGGCCUAGGCAAGCUGAUCACUUGAGUCCAGGAGUUGGAGACCAGCCUGGCCAACAUGGUGAAAUCCCAUCUCUACUAAAAACACAAAAAUUAGCCAGGCAUGGUGGCAGGUGUCUGUAAUCCCAGCUACUCGGGAGGCUGAGGCAAGAGAAUCGCUUGAACUUGAGAGGCGAAGAUUGCAGUGAGCCGAGAUCAGCCACUGCACUGCAGAGUCUCACUCUGUCAGGAAAAAAAAAAAAAAAAAAAAAAAAAAAAAAAAAAAAAAGAAUGUAUAAGGAGAAAACUAGUUUUGUGGAGGUUCAGGGAAGCCUUCUAGAGAAUAAGACUUGAGGCACAGAGACAAAUUAUGUCUGUUGCCUAACUGAAAUUGGAUGAAAUUGAAUCAGUUGGGGAUAUAUCACAUAGAAUUAAAUAGAUCCCCCAAAGAGUUGAUGAUUAUGUGUAAGUGGGGAAGCUAGGAUUCUAGGAAGAUACACAAGUAUUUGGCUUAGACAACUGGAUGGAUGAUGGUUGGGAGGUGAGGGAAGAUGUUGAUUUUGGAGUGUUCAUAGGCCAUGGUAGUUCACACCCCCAGAAAGUAAUUGGGUAUAGAAAUUUGGAAUAAAAGAAAAACCUUUGGACUAAAGAUAUCAUUUUCGAGUCAUUGAGACUGAGUUGAUAAAUAUAGGUAUAGAAUUAGAAGAGAUAAUUUGUAAAUAAUUUUCAGAAUGAGACUAGAAAAAACUUAGUACAUAAUCUUAAAAAAUAGUAACAUUUAAGGGAUAGACAGGGGAAGUGGAAUUCAUGGAAAAUACUGAGAAGAAACUAAUAGAGAGCCAGGAAGGAAACUUUGGUGUCAUGAUCUGUGGAAGGCAGAGGAAGGACGAGGGCUUGGCCACUGAUGUCAAAUGCUACAGAGAGCUCGAGCAGAUAUGGAAAAGUAUCAACCAGCUUUAGUAACAAAGGCAUCACAUGAUCAGGAUAGUUUCUGUGGAGUGGUAAUGAAGGCCAGAUUGCAAAGAAUCACUGAACAAUAAGGAGAAACAAAUGCAGACCAUUCAUUUAAGAUUCUUGACUAUAGAGAGAUGAAAGAGAUCACC
rnacentral:lncRNA from 10 species